rnacentral:rRNA from 1 species
AUACGUAGGUGGCAAGCGUUGUCCGGAAUUAUUGGGCGUAAAGCGCGCGCAGGCGGUUCCUUAAGUCUGAUGUGAAAGCCCACGGCUCAACCGUGGAGGAUCAUUGGAAACUGGGGGACUUGAGUGCAGAAGAGGAGAGCGGAAUUCCACGUGUAGCGGUGAAAUGCGUAGAGAUGUGGAGGAACACCAGUGGCGAAGGCGGCUCUCUGGUCUGUAACUGACGCUGAGGCGCGAAAGCGUGGGGAGCAAACAGGAUUAGAUACCCUGGUAGUCCACGCCGUAAACGAUGAGUGCUAAGUGUUAGAGGGUAUCCACCCUUUAGUGCUGUAGCUAACGCAUUAAGCACUCCGCCUGGGGAGUACGCUCGCAAGAGUGAA